rnacentral:tRNA from 1 species
GGGCGAUUAGCUCAGUUGGCAGAGCGCUUCGUUUACACCGAAGAUGUCGGCGGUUCGAGCCCGUCAUCGCCCACCA